UUUUGUAAAACUAGUAAACAAAAGAUUCAUUUACAUCUUUAUGAGAAAUCAAACGAUUUGAUCCUUUUUCCCAUAAAAUGCAAAUAGCUCCCACUAACUUGCUAAGAUCCAUGAUGGAUGGAUCUCUACAACUUACAUGUCUUGUGAUUUAUAGUUUUAUACAUAUAUUAUCAAGACUAUCUUAAUAAUGGUUUCGGAAACCCAUAUUAUGUCAAAACAUUGAAUCACCAUUUAGUUGUAGCUAGCAAUCUUCGAAUUAAUUGAAACUAAGACUACGUCAAAAAUGGUUCCUUUAAAGUCAACCAUUCUAUUUGAUUGUAGUCACCUUAAGCUACCAAUUAGCUAUGAAGGUUUCAUUAUUUCGAGUCAAAUGGUA
rnacentral:lncRNA from 1 species